rnacentral:rRNA from 1 species
GACGUAGGGCGCGAGCGUUGUCCGGAUUUAUUGGGCGUAAAGAGCUCGUAGGCGGCUCGUUGCGUCGGCUGUGAAAACCCGCAGCUUAACUGUGGGCUUGCAGCCGAUACGGGCGGGCUUGAGUUCGGUAGGGGAGACUGGAAUUCCUGGUGUAGCGGUGAAAUGCGCAGAUAUCAGGAGGAACACCUGUGGCGAAAGCGGCUCACUGGACCAUUACUGACGCUGAUGCUCGAAAGCUAGGGG